GACGAACCGAGCGAACGUUGUUCGGAAUCACUGGGCUUAAAGGGCGCGUAGGCGGGCUGUCAAGUCUGGGGUGAAAUCCUCCGGCUCAACCGGAGAACUGCCUCGGAUACUGGGCGUCUCGAGUGUGGUAGGGUAUGCGGAACUAUCGGUGGAGCGGUGAAAUGCGUUGAUAUCGAUAGGAACUCCGGUGGCGAAGGCGGCAUACUGGACCACCACUGACGCUGAUGCGCGAAAGCCAGGGGAGCAAACGGG
rnacentral:rRNA from 1 species